rnacentral:rRNA from 1 species
AUUGAACGCUGGCGGCAUGCCUUACACAUGCAAGUCGAACGGCAGCACGGGAGCAAUCCUGGUGGCGAGUGGCGAACGGGUGAGUAAAGUAUCGGAACGUGCCCAGUCGUGGGGGAUAACGUAGCGAAAGUUACGCUAAUACCGCAUACGAUCUAUGGAUGAAAGCGGGGGAUCGCAAGACCUCGCGCGAUUGGAGCGGCCGAUAUCAGAUUAGGUAGUUGGUGGGGUAAGGGCUCACCAAGCCGACGAUCUGUAGCUGGUCUGAGAGGACGACCAGCCACACUGGGAAGGAGACACGGCCCAGACUCCUACGGGAGGCAGCAGUGGGGAAUUUUGGACAAUGGGCGAAAGCCUGAUCCAGCCAUGCCGCGUGCAGGAUGAAGGCCUUCGGGUUGUAAACUGCUUUUGUACGGAACGAAAAGGUUUGGCCUAAUAAGCUGAGCUCAUGACGGUACCGUAAGAAUAAGCACCGGCUAACUACGUGCCAGCAGCCGCCGUAA